rnacentral:tRNA from 1 species
GGCACAGUGGUGCAGUGGGUAGCACUGUCGCCUCACAGCACGAAGAUCGUGGGUUCGAAUCUCGACCUGGGGCC